AUCAAGUAUAUCAUAAUUUAGUAAUCUUAAUCCAUAGAACUUGUGAAAACAAAUAACUGCAGCCAAUGAAUAGAGCAGGCGGAAAUUUUAAAAAGUCAAUAAGGGGGAUGGAUUCAUAACUAACUUGAGUAAUAUGGAAUUGAAAAAGGAAGGGCAAAAAAGGGUAAACAAAAUUUACGGUACCCAAAGAGAAGAGGAC
rnacentral:lncRNA from 1 species